CGGAGGAGGCGGCGGAGGAGGCGGAGGAGGCGGCGGAGGAGGGCGCGCUGACCCCCUGCAGGAUGCCCGCGCUCACGAUGUUGAUGAUGCCCUCGGGGUAGCAGCCGGCGCCGGGGUACUGCGGGUCGAUGGAGAAUUUGCCCAUGAAAGCAACUCUCACACGAUCUGUAGUGCGCAAGGCCCCUGUUCAGUGGCAUACAGGGGGAAAGAAAAAUCGACAACCCAAGCAGCAGCAAGACACGGUGACAUCUGAGAGAUGCUUCAAAAGCACACUCCUGCUCCAAAGCAACAAACCAGCAUACUCAGGAAGGCUACAAAAUCCUCAUCUUUCAGUUUUAACUCUAGAUAUCAACAUUUACAGGUUUUAGGACAUUAGGGCACGUGCCACGUGGACUUACCUCUGUGUUGGGUCCCAAAUGCUGUCAGGUCGCGUCUCGCAGGCUCCUCUCCACCCGUGCAACACCUUACACCAGCUGAGAAAGGCUCUCCCAGUUGCUCAGUUUUUGUUUCACUGCUCCUCCAGUCAGCACAGAACCCAGGCUAGACAGGAGCAUACCUAAAAAAGUAAAAGCGUCAGGGGCAUUUGUCAUGCUUUCUAAGGAAUAGUAGGCAUAAAUCUAGAUAUUUUCCCUUACGGGUGAUCUGGGAAGCGCGUGCAGUAAUUAGGAAAUAUAUAUAUAUAUAUAUAAUAUAUAAUAUAUACACUUAGUGUUUUUUAACAUAUAGUAAGAUUUUUUUUUUACCAAUUCUUUCUAGCACUUAAUGUACAGCCAAUACAGUUUGGCAGGUGAGACUGAGUUGAAAGAAAGCUCGUGUUCAAUUUCAGUAGGAUCCUAGAUAUUUUGGUUUAAAAAAAAAAAAUCUCAAUUUAAAAGUUAAAUUGUGACAGAGAGACAGAGAGAGAGACAGGUUCUGGGAAAUUUGACUGAGAAGUAGGAGCAAUUGUAUUGUACCUUUCCAUUACAGCGGAGCUAUAAUUGGUCUCAUCACUACUAUGAAAGAACAAAAUAUUGGAAUCUGUUGUGCAGUGGGGCAAGUUACUUUACAUGAAUUUGAGAAACAGGUAACUCUGAGAGUAUCCUCCUUACUAAAAAACAUUGUGCACGUGUCGGAUACGGGUUUAAGUGAUAUUCGACAGCAUCUUCCUAUAUUAUUUUAAAAUACCACGUGCCCACUGAUGACACUAAAUCAUAAAGCACACGAGAGAGAGAAGAACCAGAGUUUCACAUCCCCAUAUCUCAACUCCACCUUUGAACCAACUCAGCAAAUUUAACACUCUUCCGCUGUGGCAAAGGAUUCCAUGAAAGACUGACACGAAUACAAUUUAACAGACCUCCUGGCUAACUUCACAUAAGGAAUACUGCUGUUAUUUGACUUUGUUGGUUCAUUUUAAAAGCCUUCUUAAGGAUGGGGUAAAUUGUGCCUGAUUUCCAGCCUCUACGCAGACAACCAAGACACACUCAAUAGGAGCUUUGUCUGAAGGGCGGCAGGAUCUGGUGCAGGGCAAGAUGGAAACAUAGUUAAUGCUUGGUCUUCAGGAAGACGUUGACAGAUGAAACUUGAAUGGUUCUGGUCCCUUUUCAGAUAUUCGUGCUGUAGAGCUCUGCAUGUGUUUUGUGCCUUUGAUCCUCAUUUGGCUGAUUAAACUAGCAUCCAGGGUUA